rnacentral:rRNA from 1 species
AACGAACGCUGGCGGCAUGCCUUACACAUGCAAGUCGAACGGUAACAGGUCUUCGGAUGCUGACGAGUGGCGAACGGGUGAGUAAUACAUCGGAACGUGCCUAGUAGUGGGGGAUAACUACUCGAAAGAGUGGCUAAUACCGCAUGAGAUCUACGGAUGAAAGCAGGGGAUCGCAAGACCCUGUGCUACUAGAGCGGCCGAUGGCAGAUUAGGUAGUUGGUGGGAUAAAAGCUUACCAAGCCGACGAUCUGUAGGUGGUCUGGGAGGACGAUCAGCCACACUGGGACUGAGACACGGCCCAAACGCCUACGGGAGGAAGCAGUGGGGAAUUUUGGACAAUGGGCGAAAGCCUGAUCCAGCAAUGCCGCGUGCAGGAUGAAGGCCUUCGGGUUGUAAACUGCUUUUGUACGGAACGAAGAGCCCCGGGUUAAUACCCUGGGGUCAUGACGGUACCGUAAGAAUAAGCACCGGCUAACUACGUGCCAGCCGCCGCAGUAAGAC